AGUGAACGCUGGCGGUAGGCCUAACACAUGCAAGUCGAACGGCAGCACAGUAAGAGCUUGCUCUUACGGGUGGCGAGUGGCGGACGGGUGAGGAAUACAUCGGAAUCUACUUUUUCGUGGGGGAUAACGUAGGGAAACUUACGCUAAUACCGCAUACGACCUACGGGUGAAAGCAGGGGAUCUUCGGACCUUGCGCGAUUGAAUGAGCCGAUGUCGGAUUAGCUAGUUGGCGGGGUAAAGGCCCACCAAGGCGACGCUCCGUAGCUGGUCUGAGAGGAGGAUCGGCCACACUGGAACUGGGACACGGUCCAGACUCCUACGGGAGGCAGCAGUGGGGAAUAUUGGACAAUGGGCGCAAGCCUGAUCCAGCCAUACCGCGUGGGUGAAGAAGGCCUUCGGGUUGUAAAGCCCUUUUGUUGGGAAGAAAAGCAGCAGGUUAAUACCCCGCUGUUCUGACGGUACCCAAAGAAUAAGCACCGGCUAACUUCGUG
rnacentral:rRNA from 1 species